rnacentral:rRNA from 1 species
GACGAACCGUGCGAACGUUGUUCGGAUUCACUGGGCUUAAAGGGCGCGUAGGCGGGUGAUCAAGUCCGGGGUGAAAUCCUUCAGCUCAACUGGAGAAUAGCCUUGGAUACUGGUCGCCUCGAGGGAGGUAGGGGCGGGCGGAACUUCCGGUGGAGCGGUGAAAUGCGUAGAUAUCGGAAGGAACGCCGGUGGCGAAAGCGGCCCGCUGGACCUCUUCUGACGCUGAGGCGCGAAGGCCAGGGGAGCGAACGGG